UACGUAGGGUCCGAGCGUUGUCCGGAAUUAUUGGGCGUAAAGGGUGCGUAGGUGGCGGGGCAAGUCUGGUGUGAAAUCUCGGGGCUCAACCCCGAAACUGCACUGGAUACUGCCUUGCUCGAGUACUGGAGAGGAGAUUGGAAUUUACGGUGUAGCAGUGAAAUGCGUAGAUAUCGUAAGGAAGACCAGUGGCGAAGGCGAAUCUCUGGACAGUUACUGACACUGAGGCACGGAGGCCAGGGGAGCAAACGGG
rnacentral:rRNA from 1 species